AAUUGUACGUCCCAGAGUAAUAGUACAGGUCACGAGAAUGUCUGGCCCACAGAUCAUAGUAUUCUGACAAAUUUGGCCCCCGGAAAAAUAUAGUUGAAUAGCCCUGGGUUAGAGUCCUUGGCUCCCCGCUGC